GACGAACGCUGGCGGCGUGCUUAACACAUGCAAGUCGAACGGAAAGGCCCUGCUUUUGUGGGGUGCUCGAGUGGCGAACGGGUGAGUAACACGUGAGUAACCUGCCCUUGACCUUGGGAUAACUUCAGGAAACUGGGGCUAAUACCGGAUAGGAGCUCCUGCUGCAUGGUGGGGGUUGGAAAGUUUCGGCGGUUGGGGAUGGACUCGCGGCUUAUCAGCUUGUUGGUGGGGUAGUGGCUUACCAAGGCUUUGACGGGUAGCCGGCCUGAGAGGGUGACCGGCCACAUUGGGACUGAGAUACGGCCCAGACUCCUACGGGAGGCAGCAGUGGGGAAUAUUGCACAAUGGGCGGAAGCCUGAUGCAGCAACGCCGCGUGCGGGAUGACGGCCUUCGGGUUGUAACCCGCUUUCGCCUGUGACGAAGCGUGAGUGACGGUAAUGGGUAAAGAAGCACCGGCUAACUACGUG
rnacentral:rRNA from 1 species